UCUUAAUUUUUGCAUAUAUUGUACCAGAUUGACAAAUAGACACUUCUGCUAUUAAUGAAAGAAUCAUGGGUUCAUCACCACAGAAGCCACUGGGGUGGCAUCUUCCAGUUCAGUACAGAUGGCACAUAAGUCUGAACUGGAAGGUUUGGUUCUGGUGAUGGUAUGAUGAAUCAAGCACUAUUUCUUCAAAACAGGUGAAGAACACACCAUGUGGAUCACAUAGUAACCAAGACUGUUUUCCCAGGAAAACUGAACCAGCUGCACUUCAGUGUGCUUGAAGAAAGUGUAAGGAAGCAAGGCAGAAUGAGCUCACCUUGCCAGUGGACAAGAGAGAUCAUGAAAAAACCACAGUGGAGUUAGGUAUCAGCCACGCUCCAUGGGGUACAACUGCCCUAGAAAUGGGUAUCACUGAUUCUGCAUACCAUAUAUGUGGCCUUCAGAUUAGCACACAAGUGAUUCCCCUUUGCUGUAAUCAUCACCUUUGAAGAAACUCCCCAUUUCCAUUCCUUCUCCUCUGCACUGUGAAGAGGAGCUCAUAGCUCCAGAGUGGCCAGACAUCUGCAUGUGGUUAUCUUCACUGUGGUCUGUAAGAAUGCCCAAGAAGUCAUGUCACUACCAUGCACCUGGAAACAAUGCAGGAUGCACAGAGAAGUGGAAGCAUUUGAAAGCAAAUUAGAAAGACUGGAAUCCAAGGGCUGCUGCCAGUGACUGCUGAGAACAGAGAAGGGUGAAGGAAGACAAAACUCUAACUAGAUCCUGCAUCAUUCCAGCUGCUGAAAGAAAUGCAUGGAGAGGGCUGAAAUCAGAGGUGGCGUACGAGGUAUUAUGAUUUAUGGAGUGCUAGUGUCACUCUAACAAGCUGAAGGACACACAAUAUCAUCUCCAACAUCAUUAAAAUUCAGAAGCCUCUAGAACUAACUCAUCAACCACCGUGCAUUGUCACAGGCUAUAGAGCUCUACUCCAGUUGGAAAAUGCCUCACAGUUUGGAGUUGUGCCGACAGGAAUCCUCAAGCCCGGCUGUCUUAUGUGCUACUCUUCAUACACCAAUGGCGUUUACAUCAACGUUACCAAGUCACUUAAAAAGGAGAUGCAAGAACAACAGUAUGAACCACCUGGGCACAAAACCCAUUUGUUUCUUACGAGGCAGUGCAGGGUGCCAGUACACCUGGAAGGCUGCCGCUGUUUCCUUGCAGUUUGUGCUGAUGAAAUAAAAGCUCCUGCAGUUUGAAUGUAAAAGCACAGAAGGCAUGAUGCACCACAAUCACUUCUCAGUGGAGCAAAGAAUUUUCGAGCAUUAAUGGGAAAGUUCUUUACUGAAAUGAGAAGACAAAAAAAAAAUUUGUUAAGGUUAUUUUCCUGGCUGAUUGGAAGCUACUGGUCUUCAAAAAUCAAGUCUGUAAGUUAUGGAUUUUGCUGAUAAAUUUAAGUGAAAGAUGCUGUAAGAAGACAUCAGAACAACCUCAGAGACUUAGAGCAAUCUCAGAGAGGGAGGAGAAGCUCUGAGAGCUGCUGCAUUCCUGCCCUUCCUCUUCAAUGUGACAAACAAAAGCAGCCAAAGCAGCUGCUCUGAGCCACUGGCUCCUUCAAAGCUACCAUCACUGGGGAAGAACCAACUUCAGAGCCUGUGACAGUGUUUUCUGAUGAGCUAUUGGCACAUUAGAGACUGACACGUUCACCUGGGGAGGAGCACACCUGUUCAGUCAACCUGUGUGCAUGGUUAAGAACUGACACCUGAAAUCAGACUCAGGACCUUGGAUUUAGUCCUUGAAAUAAAUUCAGAUGUGUAAUAGUAGUAACUCAAGAAGCUCAUGUUUGAGAACUUAGUGGGGCUGAUGGAUUCAUUCUUCAGCAAAAGCCAUCCUCUGAGUGCUGUGGCAAGUGUCCAUGCAAACUGGAAAGAGCCCUUUGGGACCUGCUCCUAGUACACCUAUCUGUCUCAGAUCAAAGAGCUUCAGGUUUUGAGGCAGGCUUUAACUAAAUGUAAAAAUGUUUCAGGAAGGUGGAAAUAAGUAGCUCAGAGAAACUACUUUCUGGACUUGGCUGCUGAGUUAGAUGACCCUCUGAUACCUGCUGAAAGGAUUUCUUGUGCAUCCAAGAGGAGCAGCAUAAGCUUUUACACAACCCCCAAAUCUCACUGGGUGGAUGAUUUUCAAGAAGCAAGACAACUUUUCAGCAUGGCUUUUAAUUCUCUUCACCACGUGAGUUCAUGCCAGUCUACUUUAUGUUCACCUUCUGAAUUAGGUGAUCUACUGUUCUAACAGACCUCCUGUGGCAUCUGUCCCUGUCACCACCAUCCCCCCGCAAAAAACAAGCAGAAGACAAGAAAAAACUGGAAUUUCCUGUAGCAUUCUUCUGUCCUGUGCUUGCACUGCUCUUGUGGAUCCUGCAUGUGAUGUAUUGAAUGGGCUGUCCUGGGUAGCCUGGUGCAGAACAGCACCUGUUUCCCUGACUGCAGGUAUUCUGGUACUUUAUCUGUGUGUGCAUAGCUGGAGGCUGUACUAGAUCUCUUUGCUCUUGUGGUUAGGUAAUUCCAGCAACAGGCAGCUUUGGCAGCAUUUCAUAUCCAUAAUUGUCUCCAUGGCUGUCUCUCGAUGGAGUGGAUGUGCUCAUUUCUAGCCAUGAUUCUUUUAUCUUAAUUGAAUAACUGCAGCUCACUAAUGUCCAGCAUGACUCAAACUACAGACUGGGUGAUGGCCUUCAUACUACUGUGCCACGUCAUGGUUUUCCUACUGCUUUUAGAUCUCCCUGUGAAUAGCAAAAGAAACCUUUGAGCUCCUUGCCUGGGUUGUCACCUCCCUGGGAAGUGGCUCUGUGCAGCUACUCAAAUUAAUUAGGGUACACAGGGAGGGAGAGAGCAAUAGGUUUGGAGUGAGAUACCCACUUUAAUGUAGGAAGGCUCAUCUUCCUCUGCAGUCAGUGAAAAGGUCUCCUCCAUAAACAGUUCCUGUUUUUCAAAAUAUUGACUAUGCCAGGCAUCACAAUUCCCCUUGAGUUUUCAUUUCUUUUUUAGCAGGCAGCUAAAGAUUAGCUAGCUAUGACUAUGUGAACAACAAUGAAUAUCAGCAGUCUUAGUUCAAAAAAGGAAUCACCAAAAAUCAUCAGAUUACUGCAGUUAAAUGCAAGGUUAUCCACAAAUUCAUCAAUACAUGACAGUCAGUAACUUUCAGAAAAUGUAUCCAAGUCCCUGGUCCACUCACAACUUUCUGAACUCAGACAAAUACACUGUUGGUUAAAGUGCUUAGAAUAGCACAUGUGUAAAGCUUAAUGUAGAGCCUUUCAGCCUUUCAUUCUGUAUGUGACAAGACAUGCUUCCGUUUGGGCUCUUCAUUUGUCUCACAGAAGUGUGGGUGUGAGUCUCUUCCCAUCACACUCCACACAAGCAGUCUCUACAGACUUGCUUCCCAGGAUAACAUUAGGCUUUUGGAGAUCCCUCAGUGUAUUUAUUUCUUGUAAAGAUCCCAUUGCAUUGUCAGCACUUAGCACCAGAUAAUAAUUCUGGAGCCAGACGCUCCCAUCACUGGCCACAAGUCACUUCUAUUGAUUUCAAGUACAAUGCUGCUUUUAUCUGCAUUCCAUGCAGGAAGGAGUGUGGUUGGGCCACCCUCACUGUAUACAUCAUCAGAGUAACACAAGGAACAUAUUGGAGGAACUCUUAGAUAGAGGCAAUGCUGCUUUAAUUUCCAGAAUGGGGCACAUAAAAAGUAGCAUUUUUCUUUUUUAUUUAAAAGUGAUAUAUUAAUUCCAACAAAAUUAUGGGAGUAUUGUUGCUGCCUUCAAUCUGCAUGGGAUAUGAUAAAUUUUCCUCUUCAACUUGUAGGUCUUUUGAGCAGCUGGUUAAUGGUUACUAGCCUUUAUAAGUGGCAAGAAACAAAAAUAUUCUCUUUAAGAAGUCUAGUUUGAUCAGGUUCCUUAAUCAUAAUCAGAAGAAGGAGAAAAAAUGUACAUGGAGUGAGCACAGGUACCACACUCCCUCAUGAGUGAGUAAGGAGGACACAUUUCAGAAAUUAGCAAGUGUCUUGCUUGGGAAUCUGAAGCUAAUGGUGGGGAAGAGGGAUUAGAAAGGAAUCUUUAUCUGUACACAUUACCAAAAAUAAGGCUGUUAUUAUGGCAUGAGUAGAAUUUGAAGUUACAGACAGACAUUAGACAUGGCUGCUCAUGGCAGGAGCCAGGUGCCAAACCAGAAAAGAUAUGUAAUGCUUCCCAUAGCAGCAUCUGGCUUUUUGGCAGAGUCUACACACUUGGGCAUUGAUGGCUCUGGAUUUGCUUUGUAGUCUCUCAAACAGUUGCAUUGCAGUGGCCCUGGGCAAAACUGCAGAACCUUUUCUCCAUAGCACAUCAUUUCACAUAGCAUUUCACAAAAGAAUUACCACUGAAAAUGAACAUAGUCUGUGCAAUUAGUCUGAUAAUUAAGACUUAAGUACUGGACAGAGAUCAAAGUGCUUGUAAUCUGCAAUAAAGUUCCUAGAGUUGUAAGGAUUUUCAAAAUGUUAGCUCGUGCUUUAUUGCACCUUCCAUUUAUUGUGUACCCAUGAUAGCAGCAAACACAUUUUCCCAGUGGAUAUCAGCAUGUAUAACUGCAACACCUGUUACUACAGAAGCCUGGUAUUUCUCACAAUAUGAUUACUCUGUCAACGACUGCCAUAAAAGGUGGCAUCUGUAUUCAUCAAAAAGAGUUAUCAAUAAAUGUAAAGCCAUACCACAAUUAGAGAUCUCCAAGGAAGAACAAAUCCAACCAAAAAAAAAGUCAACGACAGUAUUUAAUUACUAAGAUUGUUAAUCAGUAAAAUGCCUUCAUAACUUUUAAUUAAAUUUUUAUUUGAACUGGAUGUUUAGAAAAUCUCAUUCUUUGUUUUUGUUUCAUUUAACAGUUGCACUACUAAAGUACUGGUGGCAUCUGUGAACAACUUUCCUCGAGGGGACAAUUCAUGUCUGUAACUGCAUUUUGUCACCUACAGAGGGUGUUAAGAAUCUUGUUAAAAAUAAGGGAAAUAGUUAGGAGACACCUCACUGUAGCCAUUAUUAUAGUGCAAAUUACCAGGUAGAGUAAUCCAGAAGCUGUCAGGAAAGGUUAGUAAGAAACAAUGUCAGGAAAUCAAACCAUACAGCAAUCCAUCAUGGCCUAACACUACCUUUAAACUGAAAGCUUUUAAAAGGCAUUGUUUUAUGAAGUAAGGGACAUUAUAUUUUUUUUUACAGCAUUGAAUAAAGAUAACUAGGAGAGUGGUUCUCUCAUGAAAGAUAUAAAGACAUAAUGAUGAAAAAUGUCAAUUAUUUUAUUGCACAAAUCUGCAGGCAAGGUAAAAACCAGAAAGCGGUCGCUUACAAUUGGAAGCCAUUGCAAUGUAAUACCUUACCUUUAUUUUCAUUUUAAUUUUGAAAUAUGCUGUCUGAUUUUUGCAAUCCUUAUUCAGACAACAAAUGACAAGCUUUCUAGAUUACCAGUUCAGUCCUUAGAGGCUCUGUAAGAUGUCAUGAAAAUACAGAAUUUGCCUUUCAGGAAGUUUUUACAAGUGCAGUCUUGACAUUGAUUAUAACACAGAUUGCCAUUGUUCUGUUAGGGGAUAUUAGAAUAGUUUGUUGCCAUUUGUCUUGUAGGUAAAUAAAUGCUAUCUGCCUCUUCCUUUGGCGUUUAGGUAGUGAGUGCCUUCUGCUGCUGACUGUCAGUCGUGUCUCUCCAGUGCUGCAGUGCCACAGAGGAGGGCACAGCUGCUCUCUGCUGUGAUGUGUGAUUUCCAUGGGCACUGCCUGAGGAGCGCCAUCGCUGCUGGAGCUCUGCAUACUGAUGCAGCUUCCAAAGAUGAAGACUCUAAAGAAGCUCUGGCUAAACCAGAAAACCAGCUACAGGGUAUCAGAUGUCUUCAUCUGUAGAUAAUUAUGGACAUGAUCAAAUUAUCUCUUAAUUAACUGAACUAAAUGGACUGAGCUUAUUUCAGAUCUCUACAGAAAGGAAAAGUUGCAGUGUCCAUUUCUUAGUGCCUCUGUGAAGAGCACAUUCAUGGCUCCUAACCUGAUUUGAUGAUCUCUGAAAUGUGGACAUAUAUACAGUCCAGCACAGUGGAAUAUUCACCAAUAAAAUAGCACCUAUAAAAUGUCUUGCAGCAUUCCGGAACUUUGUGAAGGUUUUACUUGCUACUGACAUAACGCAGCUGUCGGACCUACAACAAAGGCUGAGGUUUAUGAGCAACUUGAAUUAGGAUCUGAAUUGUCACUUUGCCUGAACCCAAAUGUGGACAUGACUGUGGCUAGACCAGCAGCAUAUUUACCUAUUGCAGUGCUAGCAGGAAGUUGGGAAAUGAAUGUCUCUUUGGAACUUUAUUAAAACAAUGGAUGUGUAAAAUAAAUCUUGUGGAUUUAUAAACAUUCUUACAAAAGGAAUGAGAUAUGGAGCAAUAUUUUGAGGUGUUAAAAAAAACAUCUAUGGUUGCUGCCCAGCUGUCAAUCAAAUAAGUAACUGGGAGGGCCAUGUUGAUCUGGAUUUUGAAGUGUGGUGUGUCAUUUUUGUAAAACCUCUCAAGACUGACUUUUUACUGCUGUUACUAAGACUCUGGAUGCACAGUGGAACCAAACCAAACUCGCUGUUGGAUUGAGGCAGGGAGCAGAAGGCUGGAAAAUUCAAAUUGUGCUGCUGCCUCUCACCUUCUGACCUACAACUGACGCCUCUCUCCUGUACCUAUGGAUCAGAAGACACUGCGUUGUAGGUUAUAAAAGCAACAUUAUGGUUAACGCUGGUAUGCAGCUGCUGAAAGCACCUAUUGAUCGUGUUUGUUGGGGGGGUUCAGGCUGCUGCCAUGGAGCAUGUCUCAGCCUUGUGGCACCUGUGGGUUAACCAGUGACAGCCACAUCAGUUGUCCUGUAAGUUUGCGGGAAUCCAGCUCCUAUCCUGAGACUGUUCCCGUCCCUAAAUACACACACUGCCCCUUACUUGGUGCAUUGGAGACCACUCACAGCACACAAUUUUAGAAUUUAUUUUUAUUGCAAAAAUUGUAUCCAAUGAAAAUCGUACAAUUCAGAUAAAUGUUUUCCAGUGUUUUAGUCACAACGUCGAUUUUUCAGCAUCUUUCCUAGCUGGCACUAAUACCACUUACAGUAGCAGAUGACGAUUAAAAUAACCAUCCCGUUAUCAAAUGAAAAACAUCAAAGCACAUGUAAGUGAUUAAAGCGGGAAUCUCAGGAACACAUGCUCA